CAGUAGCCGCGGUAAUACGUAGGGUGCAAGCGUUAAUCGGAAUUACUGGGCGUAAAGCGUGCGCAGGCGGCUUUGUAAGUUAGAGGUGAAAGCCUGGAGCUCAACUCCAGAAUUGCCUUUAAGACUGCAUCGCUUGAAUCCGGGAGAGGUGAGUGGAAUUCCGAGUGUAGAGGUGAAAUUCGUAGAUAUUCGGAAGAACACCAGUGGCGAAGGCGGCUCACUGGACCGGCAUUGACGCUGAGGUGCGAAAGCGUGGGGAGCAAACAGGAUUAGAUACCCCCGUAGUCCCUGUCUCUUAUAC
rnacentral:rRNA from 1 species